AGAUUGAACGCUGGCGGCAGGCCUAACACAUGCAAGUCGAACGGUAACAGGAAGCAGCUUGCUGCUUCGCUGACGAGUGGCGGACGGGUGAGUAAUGUCUGGGAAACUGCCCGAUGGAGGGGGAUAACUACUGGAAACGGUAGCUAAUACCGCAUAACGUCGCAAGACCAAAGAGGGGGACCUUCGGGCCUCUUGCCAUCGGAUGUGCCCAGAUGGGAUUAGCUUGUUGGUGAGGUAACGGCUCACCAAGGCGACGAUCCCUAGCUGGUCUGAGAGGAUGACCAGCCACACUGGAACUGAGACACGGUCCAGACUCCUACGGGAGGCAGCAGUGGGGAAUAUUGCACAAUGGGCGCAAGCCUGGUGCAGCCAUGCCGCGUGUAUGAAGAAGGCCUUCGGGUUGUAAAGUACUUUCAGCGGGGAGGAAGGGGAUGUGGUUAAUAACCGCAUUCAUUGACGUUACCCGCAGAA
rnacentral:rRNA from 1 species